rnacentral:rRNA from 1 species
GAUGAACGCUGGCGGCGUGCCUAAUACAUGCAAGUCGAACGCACAGCGAAAGGUGCUUGCACCUUUCAAGUGAGUGGCGAACGGGUGAGUAACACGUGGGUAACCUACCCAUCAGCGGGGGAUAACACUUGGAAACAGGUGCUAAUACCGCAUAAUUCUUUUCUUCGCCUGAAGGGAAGAUGAAAGACGCUUUUGCGUCACUGAUGGAUGGACCCGCGCUGCAUUAGCUAGUUGGUGGGGUAACGCUCACCAAGGCCACGAUGCAUAGCCGA